CAGCAGUAGGAAUCUCCACAAUGGACGAAAGUCUGAUGGAGCAACGCCGCGUGAGUGAAGAAGGGUUUCGGCUCGUAAAGCUCUGUUGGUAGUGAAGAAAGAUAGAGGUAGUAACUGGCCUUUAUUUGACGGUAAUUACUUAGAAAGUCACGGCUAACUACGUGCC
rnacentral:rRNA from 1 species